GGCAGGUCGUAUGCAAAUGGCAACUAGGAGGCGGCCACUUCAGCUCCAUCUUCAUCUUCAUCACCAGCUUCAACUUCAACUGCAACUCAGACUUGAGCGCACUGCCACGUUCCGAACGAUUUUUCACGCUACCUAAACACGCGUUUGCCAUUCGUUUCGACCUUGACCAAUGCGCGGCGUGAAGCGGGCCAUUAAAAUCAAUUGAGAAAACUCGGAUGUUUUGGGAAAGUUUGUCACCCUGCCCGGGAAAAGGAGACGAGCUGCGGAUGUGGACCUCCUGGGUGGCGUGUGUCGCGACAGGCAAAUGAAGCGUCUGGGAAAAAUGCUGGGAUAACCUUCGAUUUGUCAUGCUCGAGUGACCGCUGACGUUUGGCUUAGCCGGAAAUGCCUUUCCUGGCUUCUUCGCCUACGAAAACCCUACAUCGAAUGGUCGUAAAUCUAUAGAGUUAAAUCCCUAGGGCGGCACACGCCCCCUAUAUUUUGCCGGUGGCGCGUGCUAGCCGUAUUUUACAGCAAUUCGCUGAACUCGCGUUGUACCUGUUGCCCGGUGUAACAAGUGUAAAACUAGCGUCUCAUUUGCUCCCAAAGCCGUCCGGCUGAGAAAGCCGGUGAAUGGACCACAAAUCAGGCGGAGAAGCCAGCCCUGGAGACUACGAACGAAGCUGCAAGCUGCAUCUAUCGCGUAAAUUGUGGCAGACACUUAAGAGCCGAGACAAGAUUAAAUGCUAAAUUACGUUAAGGCGGCGCAGAUAAGCCCGGCCUCAACCCUUGCCACUUGGCGAUUGUGAGGAGUGCCAGGGUCUGAGAGUCCGGGCCAAGGUGAUAAUGAUAAGGAAAUGAAAUCGCGUUAAGUUCGCCGACGUUGCGAUUGCAACGCCGACUCGCCGAAUGGGACGCGGCACUAUCUGAACGCGUAUAAAGUACGAAAACUGAUGCGUGGCAUAAAUUAACAACAUGUACCGUGGGAUAUAGCCUGCAAAUAUGUCCAACCAAGCGUGAGAAGUAUAGGAAGUGCAACAAAGAAGUGCUUUUAUAUAUUCCAUUAUAAUCUAGUCAAUAUGUUCAUUAAUAUGUGGACAUUAUGUAGUUCCCGUUUCUUCCAUUCGAAGUUAAUGCUUUAGAUAACUGCUAUCGAUUACCACCAACGGAUCUUAUGUUCUCG
ensembl:ncRNA lncRNA:CR46490 long non-coding RNA:CR46490